GGCAGAUUGCAGAGGAAGGGAUGACAAGAGAGAGUAAGCAGGCAGAUUGCAGAGAAAGGGAUGAUAAGAGAGGAAGCAGGCAGAUUGCAGAGGAAGGGAUGACAAGAGAGGAAGCGAGCAGAUUGCAGAGAAAGGGAUGACGAGAGAGGAAGCAGAAGGCAGAUUGCAGAGGAAGGGAUUGUUAGUGAGUAAGCAG